rnacentral:rRNA from 1 species
UCCUAGUGAUUAGAGUUUGAUCAUGGCUCAGGAUGAACGCUAGCGGCAGGCUUAAUACAUGCAAGUCGAGGGGCAGCACGGGUAGCAAUAUCUGGUGGCGACCGGCGCACGGGUGCGUAACACGUAUACAAUCUACCCUUAACAGGGGGAUAGCCCUCCGAAAGGAGGAUUAAUACCCCAUAAUAAAUUGAAUGGCAUCAUUUGAUUUUGAAAGUUCCGACGGUUAAGGAUGAGUAUGCGUCUGAUUAGCUAGUUGGUGAGGUAAAGGCUCACCAAGGCAACGAUCAGUAGGGGAUCUGAGAGGACUACCCCCCACACUGGUACUGAGACACGGACCAGACUCCUACGGGAGGCAGCAGUAAGGAAUAUUGGUCAAUGGAGGCAACUCUGAACCAGCCAUGCCGCGUGCAGGAAGACGGCCCUAUGGGUUGUAAACUGCUUUUGUACGGGAGAAAACCCUUUCACGUGUGAGAGGUUGAUAGUACCGUAAGAAUAAGCAUCGGCUAACUUCGUGCCAGCAGCCGCGGUAAGACGAAGGAUGCAAGCGUUAUCCGGAUUCAUUGGGUUUAAAGGGAGCGUAGGUGGACUUGUAAGUCAGUGGUGAAAUCUCUCAGCUUAACUGAGAAACUGCCAUUGAUACUGCAGGUCUUGAGUACAGAUGAUGUGGGCGGAAUAUGACAUGUAGUGGUGAAAUACUUAGAUAUGUCAUAGAACACCGAUUGCGAAGGCAGCUCACAAAACUGUAACUGACACUGAGGCUCGAAAGUGCGGGGAUCAAACAGGAUUAGAUACCCUGGUAGUCCGCACCGUAAACGAUGAUUACUCGUUGUUAGCGAUAUGACAGUUAGCGACCAAGCGAAAGCGAUAAGUAGUCCACCUGGGGAGUACGCCGGCAACGGUGAAACUCAAAGGAAUUGACGGGGGCCCGCACAAGCGGAGGAGCAUGUGGUUUAAUUCGAUGAUACGCGAGGAACCUUACCUGGGCUUGAAAGUUAGUGACCGUCUCUGAAAGGAGAUUUUCCGCAAGGACACGAAACUAGGUGCUGCAUGGCUGUCGUCAGCUCGUGCCGUGAGGUGUUGGGUUAAGUCCCGCAACGAGCGCAACCCCUACCAUUAGUUACCAGCGAGUAAUGUCGGGAACUCUAAUGGAACUGCCCGUGCAAACGGUGAGGAAGGUGGGGAUGACGUCAAGUCAUCACGGCCCUUACGUCCAGGGCUACACACGUGCUACAAUGGCCGGUACAACGGGCAGCUACACAGCGAUGUGAUGCUAAUCUCUAAAAACCGGUCUCAGUUCGGAUUGAAGUCUGCAACUCGACUUCAUGAAGCUGGAUUCGCUAGUAAUCGCGCAUCAGCAAUGGCGCGGUGAAUACGUUACCGGGCCUUGUAGACACCGCCC